rnacentral:rRNA from 1 species
GGUGAACGCUGGCGGCGUGCCUAAGACAUGCAAGUCGAGCGGGCCGCGGGUUUUUACUCCGUGGUCAGCGGCGGCCGGGUGAGUAACGCGUGGGUGACCUACCCGGAAGAGGGGGACAACCCGGGGAAACUCCGGCUAAUCCCCCAUGUGGACCCGCCCCUUGGGGUGUUUCCAAAGGGCUUUGCCCGCUUCCGGAUGGGCGCGCGGCCCAUCAGCUAGUUGGUGGGGUGGUGGCCCACCAAGGCGACGACGGGUAGGCGGCCGGGGAGGGUGGCGGGCGAGAGGGGCACUGAGAGACGGGCGACACGCCUACGGGAGGCAGGGGAUAGGAAACUGCCGCAAUUGGCGCAAGCCUGGCGGGGCGACGCCGCUAGGAGGAAGAAGCCGUUCGGGGUGUAAACUCCUGAACCCGGGACGAAACGCCCGACGAGGGGACUGACGGUAACGGGGUAAUAGCGACGGCCAACUCAGUG